rnacentral:rRNA from 1 species
AUUGAACGCUGGCGGCAGGCCUAACACAUGCAAGUCGAACGAGUGGCGGACGGGUGAGUAAUGUCUGGGAAACUGCAUGAUGGAGGGGGAUAAAUACUGGAAACGGUAGCUAAUACCGCAUACCAUCGGAUGUGCCCAGAUGGGAUUAGAUAGUAGGUGGGGUAAAGGCUCACCUAGGCGACGAUCCCUAGCUGGUCUGAGAGGAUGACCGGCCAAACUGGAACGGAGACACGGUCCAGACUCCUACGGGAGGCAGCAGUGGGGAAUAUUGCACAAGGGGCGCAAGUCGGAUGCAGCAAGGCCGCGUGUAUGAAGAAGGCCUUCGGGUUGUAAAGUACUUUCAGCGGGGAGGCGUUACCCGCAGAAGAAGCACCGGCUAACUCCGUGCCAGCAGCCGCGGUAAUUC